rnacentral:rRNA from 1 species
UACAGAGGUCUCGAGCGUUAGGCGGAAUCACUGGGCUUAAAGCGUGUGUAGGCGGAUCGUUAAGUGCCUUGUGAAAUCCCACGGCUCAACCGUGGAACUGCUUGGCAUACUGGCGGUCUUGAGCAACCUAGGGGCGAGCGGAACAAAUGGUGGAGCGGUGAAAUGCGUAGAUAUCAUUUGGAACGCCAAUGGUGAAAACAGCUCGCUGGGGGUUUGCUGACGCUGAGACGACGAAAGCCAGGG